rnacentral:lncRNA from 1 species
AAGAAAAGGAAGAGACUAAUUGGAUAAUAGAGAGAAGAUGUAAGAAAGAAAGAAGAAAUUAGAAAUCUGAAUGAAUCAAAUCCCCCCGGUGCACCCUCUUUAAAUACUUUGUGAUAGGUUGCCUUCGAAAAUGAUUCGCGCCCCUCCAUGCACCAUCUCACACCCCAAAAAAUUUUUCACACCCCCAGCCAAUUUUCCACACCCAUC